GACGAACGCUGGCGGCGUGCUUAACACAUGCAAGUCGAACGGAAAGGCCCUGCUUUUGUGGGGUGCUCGAGUGGCGAACGGGUGAGUAACACGUGAGUAACCUGCCCUGGACUUUGGGAUAACUUCAGGAAACUGGGGCUAAUACCGGAUAGGAGCUCCUGCUGCAUGGUGGGGGUUGGAAAGUUUCGGCGGUUGGGGAUGGACUCGCGGCUUAUCAGCUUGUUGGUGGGGUAGUGGCUUACCAAGGCUUUGACGGGUAGCCGGCCUGAGAGGGUGACCGGCCACAUGGGGACUGAGAUACGGCCCAGACUCCUACGGGAGGCAGCAGUGGGGAAUAUUGCACAAUGGGCGGAAGCCUGAUGCAGCAACGCCGCGUGCGGGAUGACGGCCUUCGGGCUGUAAACCGCUUUCGCCUGUGACGAAGCGUGAGUGACGGUAAUGGGUAAAGAAGCACCGGCUAACUACGUG
rnacentral:rRNA from 1 species